AAGAAAGAUGAAGAACUUGGAGGUUUUGAGAGAAGAAGAAGCUUGGUGUUUGAUUAGUGUUGUUUAGACUUGGGAGGAAUUCCAGGUGCCCAAGGGGGACCAGGUAGCGAAACAUCCUUGAAGAAGAAGGAAAUCGGCGACCAGUAUGCGCGUCUCCAUGCAAAAUGACAUGUUCUGUUAGUGGGUUAUGUUGAGUACACAUUCUAAUUGUCUAUCGAAAAUAUUUUAUUUAAUUUCUGAAAUACUUUCCAUGGCUUUGUCAUAUUUUAAAUUACGGUUUCGUGGGUUAAAAUAAAGUGAAUAUGAACACUAGGGACUAUGGUUUAUUUGGAUGACUUGUGGUUUAUUCUUUGGAAAUCAUGAGAAAGCUUACUGAGGAUGUAAUUGUGUUAGUUGAGAUUGAACUUGAAGACAUACAUGCUUCGUGGGUGAAUGGAAAUUGUUGAUUCUUAUAAUGAGUUCAUUGGGCUUAAAUGUUAUAAGUGAAAUUGAUUAUGUAUGUUCAAUGAAUCAUUUAAUCUCCCUAGUGAUGUAUAAUUUCUAAAGUUUUGAGGCAUGAUGUGAUAAAUAUAGUACAUGGAACUUGAUGGAGCUUUGAAUGCUAAGGUGUAUAACUUCACUAGUACAUUGGAAUUGGAAUGGAUUGUGGAACCUUAUGCAUGAUCUUGGGUAGUCAGUGAGGUUGAUGCUAAUAUUUUUAUUUGCAAUAUUUGAAAACCAUAAAUAACAUAAUUACACUUAUGUUAUAGGAUUACCAAAGUUGAUGAGGUUUGUUCUUGUGAGCAUAGUGUACGGUGCUUAAUUGUAGUUCGACCAUAUAGUGGUAUCUAUCAGGUGAAUAUCAAUGAUUAUGAUUAUUAUUUUAAUGGAAUUUUUUUAGAAGGUUGAUGAUGAAUAGCUUGAGUUAUAUGUGACAAGUGUUGGAUUGCAAAAUUGCAUAUCCUUGUGAAUUUCUAAUCAUAGUUUGAUUUAAUGCUCUUGAGAGAAGAUAGUCAACUUUUGAGUAUUUUGACAAUGGGAUUGUUAUAGAUGAAGUAAAGAUUGAUGUUGAGGUAAUGACACCACGGUAAGGAUCUAAGAUAUGAUUGGGUAUAAGAAAGGGUUGAAUAGUAAAAACUUGUAAAAGCAAAUACCUGUUGAUGUGUAACGCAGGAGUUGAUCAAUAUAUAUUGGCAUGUGUAAAUAUAUGUGAUGAGAUGAACACAUUUUCAUGAUUUUUUUUAAAGGACUUGGAUGUUGUGGUUGACUAGAAUUUGGGAAUAAAUCUUGUACUGGAAGGAAAACUUAGUGACCUGCGGAAAAAGAAAGCCAGAAUGAUCCUAAGUAACUUGAGGUUUAACUAGACCAAAAGCCAUGUUGGUUCUUAUGACUUUUUAUUGUAUUUCAAAACUUAAGGUUUCCUUUAUACACUAUUGGCAUCUGCUUCUAGAAAUGAUUUGUAAAUGAAUGCCAUGUUCAUCUGGAUGGUGGAUAUUACAGUGUAUUUAAUAUUAGUUGGUUUUAUUUUCUAAA